rnacentral:rRNA from 1 species
AACGAGAGAUGAGGAGCUUGCUCUUCAAAUCGAGUGGCGAACGGGUGAGUAACGCGUGAGGAACCUGCCUCAAAGAGGGGGACAACAGUUGGAAACGACUGCUAAUACCGCAUAAGCCCACGGCUCGGCAUCGAGCAGAGGGAAAAGGAGCAAUCCGCUUUGAGAUGGCCUCGCGUCCGAUUAGCUAGUUGGUGAGGUAACGGCCCACCAAGGCGACGAUCGGUAGCCGGACUGAGAGGUUGAACGGCCACAUUGGGACUGAGACACGGCCCAGACUCCUACGGGAGGCAGCAGUGGGGAAUAUUGCACAAUGGGGGAAACCCUGAUGCAGCGACGCCGCGUGGAGGAAGAAGGUCUUCGGAUUGUAAACUCCUGUUGUUGAGGAAGAUAAUGACGGUACUCAACAAGGAAGUGACGGCUAACUACGUGCCAGCAGCCGCGGUAAAACGUAGGUCACAAGCGUUGUCCGGAAUUACUGGGUGUAAAGGGAGCGCAGGCGGGAGAACAAGUUGGAAGUGAAAUCCAUGGGCUCAACCCAUGAACUGCUUUCAAAACUGUUUUUCUUGAGUAGUGCAGAGGUAGGCGGAAUUCCCGGUGUAGCGGUGGAAUGCGUAGAUAUCGGGAGGAACACCAGUGGCGAAGGCGGCCUACUGGGCACCAACUGACGCUGAGGCUCGAAAGUGUGGGUAGCAAACAGGAUUAGAUACCCUGGUAGUCCACACCGUAAACGAUGAUUACUAGGUGUUGGAGGAUUGACCCCUUCAGUGCCGCAGUUAACACAAUAAGUAAUCCACCUGGGGAGUACGACCGCAAGGUUGAAACU